GUCAUCUUAUCACAAUUAUACGGUACAACACAAACAGAACAGAGGAGAAGCAGGAAGGCACAACACACAAACAAGGAACAAACAAGUGUCCUCUGCUACAGACUUCCACACUUGGGGGUGUGGUGGCUCUCCAAGGUGCCGUGGGACAGAUCUCCUGCCUUACAGAGCCACUUUAGGGCCAAAGGGCUAGGGAGGUAGGUGGAGAGGAGGACUGGGCCUUGGUAAAUGUCAUCCAUCACUUUGGGUUUUUGUUGUUGUUGGUUUUUUUGUU